rnacentral:tRNA from 1 species
UAUUUAGGAAACUGAAGUGUUCUUUUACAAUGAAUUAGUGCUGUAAUUAUAUUUAAGUAG